rnacentral:lncRNA from 1 species
CACUGCUCCAAGUACGCUGCUCUCUGAAGCAACCUUUCUCUUUCCCCUGGGAGAAAAAAGCCUCCAAGCAGGGUGUAGGAGAGGGCAGAGGGAAUGGCUGCCGAGGGCCCUAGGCCAGCCUUAUUUCUGUGCAGCGGGUUGAAUGGUGUCUCCCAUUCAUGUCCACCUGGAAACUCAGAAUGUGACCUUUUUUGGAAACAGGGUCUUUGCAAAUAUCAUUCAGCUUAGAAAGAGGAAGUUCGUGGGUUGCAAAGUGAGUAAUGGCUGCAUCUGGGAGCUGAUCAAAGGUGGCCAGCCAAGUUGAGUAGCCAGUUCGGUGUAUGAGACUUAACAACACUGUUUCCCCGGCCAUGGAAGGAGUCUUGAGCAGAGUGUGAGAAUGGCCAGGUGGCGGAAGUGUCUGAGAAGAUCCUGCAUCGAUCCAGAAGCAGUGGGAUAAGGAAGGAGCACUGGAUGGAAGUCAGGUGUCCUGGGGCCCAGCGCUGGCCCUGCCACACAUGGUGUGGAAGCAGAACCCUGCUGCCCGUGUCUGGGUGGGCGAGAGACUGGGGAAACACGGCCAGGAAGCAGCCCGGCAGAUGGGGGCUGAGCGCACUGGCAGGGGCAGGAGGAGCUGCAGAUCUUUUCUCAGUUGAGCUUCAGAUGAGACCACAGCCCCAGCCAGCUUCUUAAGUGCAGCCUCAUAAGAAACCGUAAGCAGAGAACCAAGAUAAACCAUGCCUGAACUCCUGAUCCACAGAAACUGUGAAAUAGAUCUGCCUGGAACCUGCCGGCCCCCUGCAGCUGGCUUCUUAAAUGCCUGCAGCUGGUGCAAGCCUCUCACUCCAAGAUGUUUCCACCCCAGACACAUCCCAGAGCCCCCUGCAUCUCCUGGGAGGACGAGGAUGGAUGGAAGCGUGCUGCCAACGCUGGGACACCUGCUUGCUUUCUGGGCAGUGGCCAGGAAAUCGCAUCUGCUGCCAGAAGAGAGCACCUGCACAUCCCGGAGAAGGGAAGGGGACAGAGCCGUGUGAUUCUAGCAGAGGAACACCCAUAGGAUUCCUUCUGUUGUUCCCAAGGUCCAGGCUCCCAGGCUGAGUAGGCAGGAAGGAGAAUGUGUCUUCACACAGGAAGCCUCACUGCCCAGAACAUGGGACAGAUCUAGCUGGAGCUGUGCUCAAACAGCUGUGGAGGCAUUAUAAAUCUCUCUCCCCGAGAUGAGGUUCAGAGGCUCUUGACAUGCCCUGCUAAUGGUAAAUCUUCCAGUGCCCACAGAGCAAGCCCUGGACUCUUAGAGCAUCAAGGUGAGACUGCCUGCCCCCCUUAAGCCUGUUAAUGGCAUCAGUGAUGUAUUCCCCUCCAAAUGUGGAAGGCUGCCUCUUUCUUCAUUGGAAGCAUCAAGGGAGUUUUAACUGUAAAACAGACUGUGCUUCAAAUCCCAUCUAAAUGCCUCAUCCUGAAGCUCUGACCUGCCACUUUUCUGCAAAUGACACUGGGUGAUUUGAAUGGGAUUAGAUUGGACAGUGGCCCCUGGCUGUUGUUUAAGUUUGUGUGGGUUUUGUUGUUUGUUUGUUUUAAUGCAACCUGUCUUUAAAUCUUCACUUUCAAAAAAAAAAAAAAGUGGUCAUUAGCCUUAUUUUUUAUUUAGAGGAUGUGAAGUCAGAAGUUCCCUUCCCUGAUUUAUUACCUCAUAGGUUUAUGACUUUGAAGAAUCAUUUCAUCUCUUUUAGUUUCCUCAUCUGUAGAAAGGUGAUUGUAAACUCUUUCUUAUCGGCUGGAUACAAAGAUGAAAUGAGAUAUCCU